GUGUUCAGUUCAGCAGCAUAUAUACUAAAAUUAGAAUAAUAUAGAGAAGAUUAGCAUAUCCUCUCUACAAGAAUGACGUGAAGUGUUCCAUUCCAUAUUUUU